CCCUUAGAUGUUCUGGGCCGCACGCGCGCUACACUGAUUCAUGCAACAAGUUUUGUCCUUGGCUGAUAGGCCUGGGUAAUCUUUGAACGUGAAUCGUGAUGGGGAUAGAUGAUUGCAAUUAUUCAUCUUCAACGAGGAAUUCCUAGUAAACGCAAGUCAUCAGCUUGCAUUGAUUACGUCCCUGCCCUUUGUACACACCGCCCGUCGCUCCUACCGAUUUCGAGUGGUUCGGUGAACCUUUCGGACCGGCAAUGCCUCGUGUUGCGCCGGAAAGUCAAGUAAACCAUAUCACUUAGAGGAAGGAGAAGUCGUAACA
rnacentral:rRNA from 1 species